GACGAACGCUGGCGGCGCGCCUAACACAUGCAAGUCGAACGAGCGAGAGAGAGCUUGCUUUCUCGAGCGAGUGGCGAACGGGUGAGUAACGCGUGAGGAACCUGCCUCAAAGAGGGGGACAACAGUUGGAAACGACUGCUAAUACCGCAUAAGCCCACUACCCGGCCUCGGGUAGAGGGAAAAGGAGCAAUCCGCUUUGAGUUGGCCUCGCGUCCGAUUAGCUAGUUGGUGAGGUAACGGCCCACCAAGGCGACGAUCGGUAGCCGGACUGAGAGGUUGAACGGCCACAUUGAGACUGGGCAACGGCCCAGACUCCUACGGGAGGCAGCAGUGGGGAAUAGUGCAACAUGGGGGAAACCCUGAUGCAGCGACGCCGCGUGGAGGAAGAAGGUCUUCGGAUUGUAAACUCCUGUUGUUGAGGAAGAUAAUGACGGUACUCAACAAGGAAGUGACGGCUAACUACGUG
rnacentral:rRNA from 1 species